AUCCAGCUGAACAAUAGUCCCAAAUAGAACGAUACGCGCGUCCUGUAU
rnacentral:hammerhead_ribozyme from 1 species